rnacentral:rRNA from 1 species
CCUACGGGACGCAGCAGUGGGGAAUAUUGCACAAUGGGCGCAAGCCUGAUGCAGCCAUGCCGCGUGUAUGAAGAAGGCCUUCGGGUUGUAAAGUACUUUCAGCGAGGAGGAAGGCAUUAAGGUUAAUAACCUUAGUGAUUGACGUUACUCGCAGAAGAGGCACCGGCUAACUCCGUGCCAGCAGCCGUGGUAAUACGGAGGGUGCAAGCGUUAAUCGGAAUUACUGGGCGUAAGGCGCACGCAGGCGGUCUGUCAAGUCGGAUGUGAAAUCCCCGGGCUCAACCUGGGAACUGCAUCCGAAACUGGCAGGCUAGAGUCUUGUAGAGGGGGGUAGAAUUCCAGGUGUAGCGGUGAAAUGCGUAGAGAUCUGGAGGAAUACCGGUGGCGAAGGCGGCCCCCUGGACAAAGACUGACGCUCAGGUGCGAAAGCGUGGGGAGCAAACAGGAUUAGAUACCCGUGUAGUC